GACGUCCAAAACAUGUGAUCCUAGACUUUUUAGAAAGCUAAUAAAAUUGUCUACAACUCAUUUAUAAUCAUCUCCAGUUAAUUCAAUGCGUAGAAAGGUCAGUUAACACAAACAGUCUCUUCUGUCCAGAUUUGGACAGAUUCAGACUUCAUAUUUCAAACAGCCAUAACUUGACUUCUAGACCACCAAAAAGGGUGCUCCAAAAUUUGUUGGAAAGCUUAAGAAAAGUACUACAAUUCUCCUAUAAUUACUAAGAGCUGAUUCUCAAUUUAACUUAGCCAAACAAUCCAAUUUCCGGAACCUGUACAGAAUUUAGACAGAUUCUAAAACUGGACCUGGAAAAAUCAUAACUCUCAAACUACUAGACCUAUGACCAUGAUAUUUUUAUACCAGUAAGAUGAAGAAGUUAUCUACAUCUUUUAUAUAUAACACAUUCACAGAAAACUUGGUUUACUUUACUAAACUAACUGCUUACGUAAAACUGGUAAUGCAGCAUUAAACAGCAAGCAUCACACAUGUUCUUAAAACUUAGAAUUCUCUAGUACUUUAUUAUAAAUUAAAGCUAAGAUCACCUACUUAAUUACACUAUACAUAUACAUAUUCACCCAAGUAUAUUCCACAUAAUAUAUCAUCACAAAAAGAACUCGUCUUAAUCAUACUACACAUAUACCUAAAGAAUUUACUCUCCUUUGACAUGUUCAUUCACCAACUAUCACACAUGUGGACAACAAUGAAUCUGAAAGUCGACACACCAUAUGCUUGCGCUACAAACAAGAAAAUCAUCGACCACAACUCUAAUCAAUACAACGAUCAAAUUAACUAAAUAGAGUAGCGAAUAGGCUCACCAAUUCACAAACCGACCCGAAGAUCCGCGAGAAAGGCGAGGUUCCCGGUUCGGACCUUCCAUCGAACACUUGGCAAACGUCGCACGGACCUCACUUCUUUACCGGUUAACUCCCUCAUCAACACACACAAUUCACACAUUAGUAAUCGACGUCGAGCACUAAAGCGACAGGGCAAGAACAGAACCUCACCGGGGGUCGACGGUGUCGCAGGUGGGGCUACACACAACACAAAACUCCUCAUGGUCAUUUCGUCGAGCACCAGAGAGAUGGUGCAAACACCAGUAGAAAGGGGCUGGAUGAGCACCAUGUGCCAUAGGAGAGGCUGAGUGCUUGCAGCAGCAGGGCCGAAGGGGAAGCUGUGGCUGGGGCAGGGGCGAGGUCGGUCACCAAGGAGAUGGCUGGGGCAGCGACGGCUAUGGAACCUAGCAGGGGCAUCGAGUAAAGGGGCUGGCAUCCAGGGCACCAUGGAAAAACUCGGCUAGGGCUUGAGGGAGGAGGGCAGAGAGCUGCUGGCGAGCUGGACUGAGGGCAGGCGCUAAAACUUGUGCUCGCAGAGGUGAUGAGGGAUGGAGAUAAGGCCGACAGGCAACAUGGAGACGUGCGUCCAGCUCUUGAAAAGAUAAUGCCGACAACGGAUAAACUAGAAGCUAGAAACGAUGGGAUAAGUCUAGAGGAAGAUAAGGACGUGUGGGAGUAAGACAUGCCGCUUCAGGGAUUUUGGCCACGUAAUAGUAAUGCUGGCGGUGGAUGAAAUUUCCAAGGAAAUCAAGGAACAUACGAGAGACACUUUCUGGGAGCCAUUGUUUAUGUAGGAUGAGGAUUAGUUGAAGAUGGACACUUAGAGGUAAGAAAAUUCAGAUUUUCCUUCUCCAAUCUUUAACCAAUAGAAUACCCCAAAUAAGUGAAAAUCUGGGAUUUGAAUCCGAGCGAGAUGCAAACAGACCCAUCAAAACAAAAUCAAUUUUAAUGUUUUUAGACUACACUAACACUGGUAGGUAUUUUUGGGAUCAGACAAAUUUCCACAGUUGUAGACAGUGGAACAGAUUAAUUACGAAUACUCAGUUCGGUUUUAAUUAUCGUGGUCCAAUUAAAUCUCGCAUCAACGCCCUUGUCGCCGAGCUUCUAAUAAAAUUUACUCGGGUAAAAAAUCACAAGAGUGGGUCGAGAUUCCAAAUUAAUGUUUCCUUUAUCAAUAAAUUUUUAAACAGACACAAGACUCGACAUUUCGAAAAUAAAUACGCGAGAUCGAUAUGGCAUCGAACUUGUGAUCCUUUCAAAAGCGACGACACACAUCGUUUACGUGGGCGAGAGGUUGUGCGCUGUCCAGACACCGGUUAAUGCUCGCCACACGUCACAAUGCCAGACCGCAGAGGGACGCGCACGACGCAGGCGCGAGAGAAUUAAAAAAAUGGAUUCUACAGAACCAGAUCCGAUUUCAAAGGUUAGAGUUUGGGCAAGACGUCGAUGGCUCAACCCAAACGAUAUUGGAUCUGAUGUUUCGGAAGAUUACUAAAGUCUGAAUUUUUGCAAACUAAAUUAGGACAAUUUAAACAUAUGGAGACAAACACGAUAUCAAAAUCGUGAUAGACAAAGAUGAUUAAAAAUUUAGUGACAUUUACAUUCACCGCUAUCAUGUGUUAACGUCCGCACUCGUGGUCAAGAAGACGACAAACACCUGGGGUGUUACAGCCUUCCCCCCUUAAAAGAAUCUCGUCCCGAGAUUCAGAACGAAAGACUUCUAAGAGUAGAGAGGCAUAUAACCCUAUCCAUAAUAGUGAUAGCAUAAGCUAAUUCCAAGCAAAGACGAUUAUCUCAAGAUCUCAAGUGAGUGUAGCAUGUAUCAUCUUUAUGCUAAUUAGAGAUGCCAACAAUAGAGACGAUGAUUGGCAGAAGAACACCUAAGGUUCCAUGUGUGCAGUUUGCUUUUCCUGAUAACACUGUAAUAUCUGAGUCUGGUGGGCGAGCGGUAGAUAUACGACUUUACCCAAACAGAACCAGAUGCAACCUCUUGGGUAAAUCACACAGAAAGAGGUUUACCAACAAGUGGUCACAGUAAGUUCAUAGCACACUAGACGGGUGUGAAUGUCGAAUAACAUCACAGUUAACUCGUGUUAGCCAGAAAAUCCAAGUCCAAUGAUGCUAAUGGAGACUCAAGGAAACAUCAGUGAAGAUUAUCAACAACUGUUGGCUUCACAAUCAAUCCACUUUUUUGAGCACUAAGCAUGACUCGACCUGAUCACAUAUGCUGGAAAAGCACACGUGAGUCGAUCAAGGCACGACUAGAGCGAUAAUUAGGUGACUAUCAGUCGAUUUUAACUUGAUCUUUGUAAGAACUUUCUUAGGAUGGGUUGAACCAAAGUGAGUUUAGCCAACUCGACAAAACGAUCUCUAAACUCAACCUUUGUUCAUAGGGCAGUUACAAGUUAGUAAAACCAACUUGUUGAACUACUUUUGAUAUUGAGCAGGUCCUCUCAGUACCACCGGUAAGCCAAGGGUUGAGAGUUCACUCUUAUUAACAGUUGAUCAUGCAUUUGGGCAGGAAUCCAUUUGGUCGGUUGUUCAUCCGUUUCUUCUAUACAAGAUGAACCGACUUGGUUAGGGAAUACAUGGAUUGAAUAAAAGAGCGAAUGAACAAACUCCUGCAUUUCAGUGGCAGGGGAAGCAGAUCUCCAUUUUGAGAGCUAAUCAGUUGUUUUCCAACACUAAAAAGCUCCAAGGCUUCACCUUUACACAAAGGACGUAAAGGGAACUUGUAUGAGUAGUCACUACCAAGAUCAAAAGGAAAGAGACCACACAUGAAAGUGGUAUGCUCUUUUUAUCCAACAGAGAUGAUAGAUGUUGCUUGAUCAUUUGACAAACAACAUAGAAAUUGUUUCAAGGGAGGAGUCCACGGAAGAUCACACAUCAGUGUAGUUCCACAAUGGAUCAUGACCAGAGACCUUGAUACCAGCAUCCGACGAGUAGCACAAUCCUGUGUGCGCAUUCAUAGGAGGCUCUCAAUUUCGCUGCGGCACCAUGAGUCCUUAAUCGUGUCACCAUUACCGAACAAGGGUAUGGUUUAGGAUGAACAUAUGACCAUAAGAGAGCUACAAGUGGAUUGUCAAGAUUACAGACUUGAGAUCCUUGUUUUUAAGUUUGAGUGCAUCUUAGGUCCAAUAAGGGAAUUACCUAAACAUCUAUUUGUAUUUGCAUGAGUUUGGCCAUGGAGUAGGAAUCGAUAAUUCAAACUCAUGCAUAUUUUGAAGAUUUAUAGGGACUUUGAAGAAAUGACAAAAUUAUGAAUUAGAUCUCAUACAAUUUCAAAUAUUGAGAUGAUGAGGACAUGACUUGAUCUAAUUGCUAGAACUCCAAAGACCUCGUGAAGAAAAUGAUCUUCACACAAGAUGACACCUAGGAUAAGUUGUCAAGAAAUUAAUACACGUUUAGAUCAAGUUUACUAAACAAGGACAUAGCUUAGCUUUGGGUUUACGCAAACAAACUAUCAACAUUCUACCGGCACACAGGCACAAAAAUAAACAUAAGUUGCACUAUCGGUCAAACUAAGAAGAACCACAGACCACAUAAACACAUGUCUAAAGGACACAUCAAACAAAGCUAGAAAUUGCUUAUAGGACAGUAAUGCUUCACACAUUUUCCAAUUAUUUAUUAUCGAAAUAAAGAUGAGGGAAGCACGUUCGUUCACAAUCACCAAUUAUCAGAAUAAGGGUGAGAAAAGUAUAUUUGUGCACAAACAACAAACACAAUGCAAUAAUCAGGAUGCAUGAUCGUCUUAUUCGUCCUCACGAAUUUUGCCAACAUAAUGUGGCAAUAGCGUUCUAUAUCGGUGGCAUAUCUACGUUCUCUCUCGGUAUAUUGCUAGUCGUCAGCUACACAUACGUUUCGAAGUUAGUGUACCUGCAGAAAAUUCCAUCACAGCCCAUUUCCCAAUGAUGCAAUUCACACAUGACAGUUUAUCUCAGUAUAUACUCCAUAUAUUUCUAUAUGGAGGCCAGCUCUUCAUUAAGCGCCGAGCCACGCAUAGGCGCCGCUGCCACACUUUAACCAUAGGGCAGCUCAUUAUGGUAACUCACCUUUUUACCUAAGCGUAGGUGCGUCGUUGCGAGUACAUUACACUUCUCAGUAUUCCCAUGUCUGCAUACCCAUACACAUCCAUGGGGUACUGAAUCCCAGAAAAUUAAAUACUCCACAUCGCAGCCUUCAUAUAUACAUAUGUAAAAUAUGUAUAUAAUCAAGCGUUGUUUAUGCUCUCCCCUAGACCGACGUUUGUCCGGUCACGCUCUCACAUCUCACCUUACUGAAUGGCCUCAAAAACAACAUUACACAUGUAUGCAUCACCCUUCCCAGGUUGUGUGUUAGUAUUCUGAACUAAGCCACCUAGUAGUCCUUAACUUAGGGCUUAUAGAGGAUGUCACUAGCAUUAUAGUUUUUCAAAUCUGUUUUUCAAAACCAAACAAUGUGUUUAGUUGAAAAUAGGUUUUCUAAACCCAAAACUUUUGUUUUGAAAAUACGUAUGUGACCGUAUAUACUUAAUCCUGCUCCGAUACCAGCUGUCGCAGAACCUCCUAAGUUAUAGGGCCCACAUGCACCUGUCCUUGUCUUAAAGACCUCAGACGGAUAUGCAUGUGUACCAAACAACUUAACAGGAUCUGUCCGAGUGUCCCAAGGACCCCGGAUAAACGACUUACCGCCAAGAUCGCAAGAUUAAGUAAACACAAAUCACACACCAACAUUUGCAGCGGAAAUAAAUUCUUUAUUACAAAAUGAUUACGGGCAUGUUUGGUUCGUUACCUCAAUUGCCACACUUUGCCUAACUUUUCUGCCUAAGGUUAGUUAUUCAAUUCGAACGACUAACCUUAGGCAAAGUUGGCACAUUUAGCUACAAACCAAACAUGCCCUACAUGUUACAAUAAGUUUACAUUAUACAAUUAUCGGAGUGAUUACAAAAGAAAAUGAUUAAAAAGAAUUACAAUUUGAAUGUAUAAAACAUUUAUAAGUUUUAAAAUACAUGCUAGCUUAAGUGACAGUCCUCAAUAAAGAAGCUAAAGAUGUGAUAUACUUAUAUAAGAAGGCCGAGCCCACCGGCACUUAGCACCAUCCACAACAGAACAAACUUAUAAUCCUGAAAAACAACAGGGAAUAAAACCCUGAGUAUGCAAUUACUCAGCAAGACUUACCCGACUAAAGAAAAGACUCUCAAGGGUAUGCUGGUUUGUUGGGAAUCAAGGUAAAGCUCAUCAAAUUUCAAAGACUCAUUUUUGCAGAAAAGCUUACUAGUAGUGGAUCCUUAUGCCAAACUUUUACUUCACAAAUUAAGUACUUUUCCUGAAUUUAGAUUUGCCUAAUCUAGAGCAUUCACUUGUCCUACACUAAAUUCAUUUUAGCAUCUUUAGUUUCACUUGUUAUCUACGAUGAGGGUCGAAGAUCCAGUCUUCAUAUCCGAGAAGUUCGGCGAUCCGAAUCGAUUAAUACCCAGCUGGGGAUCUCCAACCACACGACAUAUGUAGCACUUAACCAUUGCAUAUGUCAACUCGCCACCGAGUUUCUCAAGACCAGAACGGGUCCCCGCCAACCGAGAGCUCAGUACCCCACCAUCCAGCCUCUUGCCAGGUGGAUACACGAUACUCUCGCCAUCUCUCCACUCCCAUUGCGGGCCGGCCUUUCUGGUAUUGGUCCAGCCGAGGCUAAGCUUACCCAUGAUGAGGCAUGUGGCCAGUUAAAGGGUCCUAGAUCAGCAGGCCAACAAUCGGAACGGUCCUUAAUCGACACAGACGGGCGACCUUUCCUGCUCAACGUCUGGUCUCAUCUUAUUAUUUAACACUCAAACCAUGUACCUGACAGAGGUACAAUACUCGAAUAAUGAAUUCAUCAUUGCGAGUGAUGCCUUCAUUAUUGCAAGUUCUUUUUCAUAAAACCCAUAUCCAGUGUUGCACAACAUUCUUUUUAAAAGAAACACUUUUAGUUUCUAAGCAGGGCUAAGCCUCAUUAGUUCUCUUUAUAAAACAGGUAUCAAGGAAUAGUAAUCGAAUUCCAAGGAAUGGCAAUCCAUCAAUUGUUUCAUCACUCAACUCCUAUCACCUAAUGCAGCAUAUAAGUGAUAAAAGUUUUAAAACAACAAGGAGGUGGCAAAUGCACCGGGGCUUGCCUGGGAUAAACACUACGUUAGUGUUGUUAAUUGACGACCACUUGGUGAGCAUCUUCCAUUCUGGUGUUGGCUUGAUGCAUCCACAAGAUUAAUCCACCAAUACCAUCUUAUGGUUCGCUCUGAUCCAUGUCCUUCAGCUCGCAUAAUCAUCUAGCGUACCUAUUGGAAAUGCAUAAUGCAUAUAAGCAUGGACAUGAAUAGCAUGAGAUAGAUAUUCUAUACUAAAGAGGGUAAACACUUAAAAAAUUUAUCACAACUCCUAUGAGCACACUAGAUGUGAAGAUAUUACUAUGUACCACAAGCGCAUCUUUUACACUUAAAUAGGCCUAACGCAAGUAUCAAGCACUCAUAACACACUUAUAAACAUAAGACAAUCGAAUCAACUCAAUAAUACUUGAUAUAAAUGUCUACUAACCUUCUUCGCAUUAUUGAGUUCAUUAUAACCACACAAGGUCUAAUUAGCUACUAGUUCCAAUACAUUCAUCAAAGUAUUAAUUCCCAAACUAAUUGGUUUAAAGCACACAUUAAGAAAGAAAAACUCAACCAUGUGCAACAAGACAUUUGGAUAAACAUUUCAAAUGUCAUAAGUCUGUUGGAUCUUUUAUGGGCCUGGCCCAUUUAUUGAAUAAACUCUAAGGUGUGUAAUGGUGGAGAAUACCAAUAGUACCACAUUGGAAGUCCAAGGGUCUUUUGCCUUGACUUAUAUGGUGGGAUUUAUUCCACUUAACUUGAGAAGUCAAGAAAUGGACAAGGGCGUGCCACACGCGCGCGCGCACGCCGCCGCCGCCGCCGGCCGGGCCGGGCGUGGCGAGGCAGGCAGGCAGGCAGGCAGGCGAGCGGGCGUGGUGUGGUUGUGUUAAUUUUUAGCACUCACUAACCGCGUUAACCUUUCAGUUGCCUGUCUCUACGUCAGCCGAGUGACCCUGUCUCUUCGUCUGCCGAGUGACCCUUCUCCUUCAGCUGCCGACUUAUGGCGUGACUCGGCAAGAGCUGGCCGACUCAUGGCAUAACUCGGCUAGAGCUGGCCGACUCUUGGCGUGACUCAGCGACCUUUCUCCUUCAGCUUCCCUCUGCGAGAGGUUAAAUAGAGGAGCACCCCUGUCACUCGGUACACGCGAGAAACACUUUCAGUCUCACAGUCCAGUCGCCCGAGUGAGGGUAUUUCCAUCUCGUGACUCUGCGCGCACAGAGAAGCGAGAGGGCAGGUGCCUCCGAAGCCAGUGCCGUUCGAGACCUUGCACGGGGGAUCGACAAUUAGGUUUUUGGGGAGCGUCUACGCGACUGCCCAAAACAUCUUCAACAUGACAAAGGAAGCUGGCCAAGGAUCUGGAUCAUCAGAGCGCAUAGGAGGGUAUGAUCAGUUUAUUUACUUACUGUUUUGUGUUCUGGAGAUUAUAUAUGUUUCAUAUAUUCAUCUAUGCUGUUUCAUAUUUAUGAAUGAUUUUAUUUUAUCUGUUAUGUCUUAUUAUAAUAUGAUAGAUCUGUCUGUUUUAAUUUUACAAUCAUGCUAUUUAUGUUUCUAUCUGUUUAUUUUCAUUUGUUCAGUCAGUAUACAUGUUUAUCGUAUUUAUAUGAUUUAUAUAAUUCACAUGCUCUAUGUUCUCUUGAUUCAUAUUGGUAUGGAUCAAUUUAAGAUCACGAUUUCUAUGGUUAAUUAUUUAUUAUAUGUCAUCAUCAUAAUGUUAAUUUAUGGAAUUAAAAUAAUACGGAAAAUGCCUAUAAUUCUAACAAUCCAAAAACCUAAUGUUAGGCAUUUUUCUGUCAGAGGUUUUGCUGCUGUGCUAAAGCCUGAUCCUUUUGAUGGUAAAAACUUCUUGAUAUGGAAAGCUAAAAUGGAAUUGUGGCUAACUGCAAUGUCUUGUUUUCAUGCCGCUGAGGGCAAGCCUGCCAACUUGCCUCCUGAGGAUGAGGCUAAGUUUAAGGCUGAAGACAACCUCUUUAGAGGAGCAGUGAUUAGCGCACUGGACACAAAAUUCCAGAAAAGCUAUAUCAUCCUUCCCACAGGGAAAGAGCUGUGGGAUGCACUUGUCGGAAAGUUUGGAGUAACUGACGCUGGUAGCGAGCUGUACCUCAUGGAGCAGCUGUAUGACUACAAGAUGGUUGAGAACCGAUCUGUAGUGGAACAGGCUCAUGAGUUUCAGGCACUAGCUAAGGAACUCGAACUUUUUCCUUGUCCUUUGCCUGACAAGUUUGUGGCUGGCGGUAUAAUUGCCAAGUUACCACCUUCUUGGAAGGACUUUGCUACCUCUCUAAAACAUAAGAGACAAGAGUUCAAUGUGGAAGAGCUCAUUGGUACUCUUGAUGUUGAGGAAAGGGCUAGAACAAAGGACAAUGGAAAAGGUGUGGAGACCUCUACUGCUAAUGUGGUGCAGAAGAGAAACUUCCGCAAGUUUAACAAGAAGAAAAACCAGAACAAACCAGAGAAUGCAAAUAAACCUGUUCAUACAGCACAAUUUAAAAAGAAGAACAACAACAACAAGGGAAAGGGAGAUUGCUUUGUCUGUGGCAGUGAUCAACAUUGGGCUAGAGAGUGCCCUGAUCGCAAGUUCACACAGGACAAGAAAUCAGCUAAUGUUGUAACCACUGAAACUGGAGAUGGAACAUCUGGGUAUGGUAAUUCUUUACCAUUUGUUCUCUCAGUUUGUAAUUCACCUGAGUGGUGGAUGGAUAGUGGUGCAAAUAUUCAUGUGUGUGCUGAUGCCUUUAUGUUCUCCUCCUACCAGGUCGGGAGGUCUGGCGCCUUGUUAAUGGGAAAUGGGUCGCGUGCUCAUGUUCUUGGUGUUGGUACGGUCAUUCUGAAGUUUACUUCGGGAAAGACGGUGCCAUUGAAGAGCGUGCAGCAUGUGCCCUCUAUCAAGAAGAAUCUCGUUAGCGCGUCUAUGCUAUGUCGAGAUGGAUACAAAGUUGUUCUUGAAUCUAAUAAAUGUGUUGUGUCUAAACAUGGUACUUUUGUUGGUAAAGGAUAUGACUGCGGAGGGUUGUUCCGCUUAUCACUGCAUGAUGUGUGUAAUAAACUCGUGAAUUCUGUUCAUUUUUCUGAUGAGUCGGAUUUAUGGCAUUCACGUUUUUGUCAUGCAAGCUUUGGCUGUCUUAUGCGGUUAGCAAAUAUAAAUUUAAUUCCUAAAUUUAACUUGGUCAAAAAGUCUAAGUGCCAUGUGUGUGUUGAAUCAAAACAACCCCGCAAGCCUCACAAGGCUGCUGAGGCGAGGAGUUUGGCACCUCUAGAACUUGUUCAUUCUGAUCUGUGCGAGAUGAAUGGAAUUUUGACCAAAGGUGGUAAAAGAUACUUUCUCACUUUUAUAGAUGACUCCACUAGAUUUUGCUAUGUGUAUCUCUUAAAAACAAAAGAUGAAGCGUUCAAUUAUUUUAAGGCCUAUAAAGCUGAAGUUGAGAACCAACUUGAGAGGAAAAUAAAACGGUUAAGGUCUGAUCGAGGUGGAGAAUAUUUCUCUAAUGUGUUCGAUGAGUUCUGCGUGGAACAUGGUAUUAUUCAUGAGAGGACACCGCCAUUCUCACCACAAUCCAAUGGGAUUGCUGAAAGGAAAAACCGCACUCUAACAGAUUUGGUGAAUGCCAUGUUGAGUACAGCGGGAUUAUCCAAGGCAUGGUGGGGUGAGGCAAUUUUGACAGCAUAUCAUGUCCUGAAUAGAGUUCUAACAAAGAACAAAGAGAUCACUCCAUUUGAGGAAUGGGAAAAGAGAAGAGUAAAUCUCUCGUAUUUGCGCACUUGGGGUUGCUUGGCUAAAGUGAAUGUGCCAAUCAACAAAAAGCAUAAACUUGGGCCUAAAACUGUUGACUGUAUAUUCCUUGGGUACUCUUUUCACAGCACUGGGUAUAGGUUCUUAAUUAUAAAAUCUGAUGUGCCUGAUAUGUAUGUUGAUACUAUCAUGGAAUCAAGAGACGCAACAUUUUUUGAGAAUGAGUUUCCCAUGAAGAAUACACCUAGUGAUACAAGUCAUGAGACUAUAAUUCCCCAUGAGCACGAACUGUCGAUUCCUAUAGAUCAUGUUGAGGAUUCUCACGUGCACAUCCCUGAGGAGGAUGACACUAUAGUCACUCGAAAGAGCAAGAGACAGAGGGUUGCAAAAUCCUUUGGUAAUGACUUUAUAGUGUACCUUGUGGAAGACACACCAACUACCAUUAGUGAGGCAUAUUCCUCUCCUGAUGCUGACUUAUGGAAGGAAGCAGUAAGGAGUGAGAUGGAAUCUAUUAUGUCUAAUGGAACUUGGGAGGUCGUUGACUGUCCUUAUGGCUGUCAACCUAUAGGUUGCAGAUGGAUCUUCAAGAAAAAGCUUAGGCCUGAUGGUACAAUCGAGAGGUACAAGGCAAGGCUUGUGGCCAAAGGAUAUACCCAAAAGGAGGGUGAAGAUUUCUUUGAUACCUACUCACCAGUGGCUCGGUUGACUACAAUUCGCACAUUAAUAGCCGUGGCAGCCUCUUAUGGUCUUAUCAUUCAUCAGAUGGAUGUUAAGACAACUUUCCUAAAUGGAGAGUUGGAUGAGGAGAUCUAUAUGGAUCAGCCAGAAGGGUUCAUUGCGGAUGGUCAAGAGAACAAGGUAUGCAGGUUGAUAAAAUCAUUGUAUGGCCUAAAACAAGCACCUAAGCAAUGGCAUGAAAAGUUUGAUAAUACUCUUACAGCAGCUGGCUUUGUUGUAAAUGAAUCUGACACGUGUGUAUACUAUCGGUAUGGUGGGGGUGAGUCUGUUAUGCUGUGCCUUUAUGUUGAUGACAUUUUGAUCUUUGGAUCAAAUCUCAAUGUGAUUGAGGAAGUUAAAAAUCUUCUAUCGAGCAAUUUCGAGAUGAAAGAUUUGGGAGAGGCUGAUGUCAUUCUAAACAUCAAGCUUGUUAGAGAAGCUGAUGGUGGGGUAACUUUGUUACAAUCCCAUUAUGUGGAAAAGGUAUUGAGUUGCUUUGGUUUUAGUGACUGUGAUCCUGCUCCAACACCUUAUGACCCCAGUGUGCUAUUAAGAAAGAAUCGGAGAAUAGCAAGGGAUCAAUUGACAUACUCCCAGAUCAUUAGCUCGCUCAUGUACCUUGCAAGUGCAACAAGGCCAGACAUCUCUUAUGCUGUGAGUAAGCUAAGUCGGUUUGUGUCGAAACCAGGAGAUGAUCACUGGCGUGCUCUUGAGAGAGUGUUGCGGUAUUUGAAAGGUACUAUGACAUACGGUAUUCAUUAUACCGGAAACCCAAAAGUGCUGGAAGGCUAUUGUGAUGCCAACUGGAUUUUUGAUGCUGAUGAGCUUUAUGCCACAAGCGGAUAUGUGUUUCUGUUUGGAGGUGGCGCUGUUUCCUGGAAGUCUUGCAAGCAGACUAUCUUAACGAAGUCUACAAUGGAAGCAGAACUCGCAGCAUUAGACACUGCUGGGGCUGAGGCCGAGUGGCUUCGUGAUUUCCUAUUGGACUUACCGGUAGUUGAAAAACCGAUACCAGCUAUUUCCAUGAACUGUGACAACCAAACGGUGAUUACAAAGGUUAACAGUUCUAGGAAUAACAUGAAGUCUACAAGGCAUGUUAAGAGGAGAUUGAAAUCUGUCAGAAAGUUGAAAAACUCCGGAGUUAUAACUGUGGAUUAUGUCCACACAUCAAAUAAUCUGGCAGAUCAAUUCACUAAGGGUCUAUCACGCAAUGUGAUAAAAAGUGCAUCGAGGGAAAUGGGUAUGAGACCCAUGUGAGAUCUACUCUAGUGGUAACCUGCUCUAUGUGAUCGGAGAUCCCGUGAAGUAGAGUGGAGAAACAAGCUAGGAGUAGAUUGUGAGGAAAGAUCCCUUCUUUAACUCAUUUCUGAUGCACAUCUUUCCUAUCUGUAAGGCAGGAUGAUUUUUACCUUAAUGUAUUCCAAGAGUCUUAUAAAGGCGAGAUGUUGUCCUACAGAACAUCUUUUGAGGAAUACACCUAUAUGAGUCAGACUGCUGGUCACAGUCUAUGGGACUUGGUUAAUCCCUAAAUACUCAUGAAAGGCACUGAAGUGUGACUUAUAUGCUUCUAAAAAGCGGGAAUACCCUUUUGCAGCCUAGUAUCAGCAAAGGAUUUGAGUGAAUCUUAUUUCGCACAAAACUGUCAAUUCAAGGCAUAGUCCAUUGUUCAGUUGUGAAUGAGUGAAACUCUUAUUCUAGAUGGAUGUUCAACUUAACAGUCUCCAUCGGAAAACUGGUAUAUCAAAGGAUUGUGAUUCUGAUACUUCAUCAUUACAAACCCUAGAGUUUGGUGGGGAUUGUUGGAUCUUUUAUGGGCCUGGCCCAUUUAUUGAAUAAACUCUAAGGUGUGUAAUGGUGGAGAAUACCAAUAGUACCACAUUGGAAGUACAAGGGUCUUUUGCCUUGACUUAUAUGGUGGGAUUUAUUCCACUUAACUUGAGAAGUCAAGAAAUGGACAAGGGCGUGCCACACGCGCGCGCGCACGCCGCCGCCGCCGCCGGCCGGGCCAGGCCGGACGUGGCGUGGCGAGGCAGGCAGGCAGGCAGGCAGGCGAGCGGGCAUGGUGUGGUUGUGUUAAUUUUUAGCACUCACUAACCGCGUUAACCUUUCAGUUGCCUGUCUCUACGUCAGCCGAGUGACCCUGUCUCUUCGUCUGCCGAGUGACCCUUCUCCUUCAGCUGCCGACUUAUGGCGUGACUCGGCAAGAGCUGGCCGACUCAUGGCAUAACUCGGCUAGAGCUGGCCGACUCUUGGCGUGACUCAGCGACCUUUCUCCUUCAGCUUCCCUCUGCGAGAGGUUAAAUAGAGGAGCACCCCUGUCACUCGGCACACGCGAGAAACACUUUCAGUCUCACAGUCCAGUCGCCCGAGUGAGGGUAUUUCCAUCUCGUGACUCUGCGCGCACAGAGAAGCGAGAGGGCAGGUGCCUCCGAAGCCAGUGCCGUUCGAGACCUUGCACGGGGGAUCGACAAUUAGGUUUUUGGGGAGCGUCUACGCGACUGCCCAAAACAUCUUCAACAUGACAAAGGAAGCUAGCCAAGGAUCUGGAUCAUCAGAGCGCAUAGGAGGGUAUGAUAAGUUUAUUUACUUACUGUUUUGUGUUCUGGAGAUUAUAUAUGUUUCAUAUAUUCAUCUAUGCUGUUUCAUAUUUAUGAAUGAUUUUAUUUUAUCUGUUAUGUCUUAUUAUAAUAUGAUAGAUCUGUCUAUUUUAAUUUUACAAUCAUGCUAUUUAUGUUUCUAUCUGUUUAUUUUUAUUUGUUCAGUCAGUAUACAUGUUUAUCGUAUUUAUAUGAUUUAUAUAAUUCACAUGCUCUAUGUUCUCUUGAUUCAUAUUGGUAUGGAUCAAUUUAAGAUCACGAUUUCUAUGGUUAAUUAUUUAUUAUAUGUCAUCAUCAUAAUGUUAAUUUAUGGAAUUAAAAUAAUACAGAAAAUGCCUAUAAUUCUAACAAAGUCUUCAUCACUCAAGAAUCAAAAAUUGAUUACUCCUACAUAGCCAAACAGGAAUCAAACCAAAUACCCCAUUGCAGAUUUUCUGGACAGCAUUCAGCAGUCAACGGUUUUACUCAUAACUCACAAGAUAUUCAUCCAAAAAUAGUGAACUAAGACUUUCUAGAAAGCUUAUGAAAUCCCCUAUAAUUUUUGUAUUAUCAGCAUAACAUGAUUCGGCAUUUUGAAAGGUCAAUCAGUGCUAAACGUAAAUUCUGUCUAGAUUUGGACAUAAUUCGACUACUCACUUCAAAAAUCCAUAACUGGAGAUUUAGACGUCCAAAACAUGUGAUCCUAGACUUUUUAGAAAGCUAAUAAAAUUGUCUACAACUCAUUUAUAAUCAUCUCCAGUUAAUUCAAUGCGUAGAAAGGUCAGUUAACACAAACAGUCUCUUCUGUCCAGAUUUGGACAGAUUCAGACUUCAUAUUUCAAACAGCCAUAACUUGACUUCUAGACCACCAAAAAGGGUGCUCCAAAAUUUGUUGGAAAGCUUAAGAAAAGUACUACAAUUCUCCUAUAAUUAAUAAGAGCUGAUUCUCAAUUUAACUUAGCCAAACAAUCUAAUUUCCGGAACCUGUACAGAAUUUAGACAGAUUCUAAAACUGGACCUGGAAAAAUCAUAACUCUCAAACUACUAGACCUAUGACCAUGAUAUUUUUAUACCAGUAAGAUGAAGAAGUUAUCUACAUCUUUUAUAUAUAACACAUUCACAGAAAACUUGGUUUACUUUACUAAACUAACUACUUACGUAAAACUGGUCAUGCAGCAUUAAACAACAAGCAUCAC
rnacentral:lncRNA from 1 species